rnacentral:piRNA from 1 species
UCCAGCAGAGCAAACAUCUGCAUGGC